rnacentral:rRNA from 1 species
UACGGGGGGAGCAAGCGUUGUUCGGAUUUACUGGGCGUAAAGGGCGCGUAGGCGGCCACCUCAAGUCAGUUGUGAAAUCUCUGGGCUUAACCCAGAACGGUCAGCUGAUACUGCGGGGCUAGAGUGCAGAAGGGGCAACUGGAAUUCUCGGUGUAGCGGUGAAAUGUGUAGAUAUCGAGAGGAACACCUGCGGCGAAGGCGGGUUGCUGGGCUGACACUGACGCUGACAGCGCGAAAGCUAGGGGAGCGAACGGG